rnacentral:rRNA from 1 species
CCUACGGGAGGCAGCAGUGGGGAAUAUUGCACAAUGGGGGAAACCCUGAUGCAGCGACGCCGCGUGAAGGAUGAAGUAUUUCGGUAUGUAAACUUCUAUCAGCAGGGAAGAAAAUGACGGUACCUGACUAAGAAGCCCCGGCUAACUACGUGCCAGCAGCCGCGGUAAUACGUAGGGGGCAAGCGUUAUCCGGAUUUACUGGGUGUAAAGGGAGCGUAGGCGGCAUGGCAAGUCUGAUGUGAAAAGCCCGGGCUCAACCCCGGGACUGCAUUGGAAACUGUCGGGCUAGAGUGCCGGAGAGGCAAGCGGAAUUCGUAGUGUAGCGGUGAAAUGCGUAGAUAUUAGGAGGAACACCAGUUGCGAAGGCGGCUUGCUGGACGGUAACUGACGUUGAGGCUCGAAAGCGUGGGGAGCAAACAGGAUUAGAUACCCGAGUAGUC